UACAGAGGGUGCGAGCGUUAAUCGGAAUUACUGGGCGUAAAGCGCACGUAGGCGGCUUGGUAUGUCGGGUGUGAAAUCCCCGGGCUCAACCUGGGAACUGCAUCCGAAACUGCCUUGCUAGAGUAUGGGAGAGGGAAGUGGAAUUCCGGUGUAGCGGUGAAAUGCGUAGAUAUCGGAAGGAACAUCAGUGGCGAAGGCGACUUCCUGGACCAAUACUGACGCUCAGGUGCGAAAGCGUGGGGAGCAAACAGGG
rnacentral:rRNA from 1 species